rnacentral:RNase_P_RNA from 1 species
AGAGUAAGCGCAGGCGAUUACGGACUUGUUAAAAGUCUGAGGAAAGUCCGGGCUCCCGAAAGACCAAACUUGCUGGGUAACGCCCAGUGCGAGUAAUCGUGAGGAUAGUGCCACAGAAAAAUACCGCCUUUUCAGUCAACUGUGAACAGUGAACAGCGAGACAAAAGAAGAAAUUUAUAACUGAUAACUGGUAGAGACGCGCCAUGGCGCGUCUCUACACUGAUAACUGAUAACUGAAAAGGUAAGGGUGCAAAGGUGUGGUAAGAGCGCACCAGCAACGUCGUGAGGCGUUGGCUCGGUAAACCCCGGUUGGGAGCAAGGUCGGAGGAACUAAGGUUGGUCUUUUUCCCGUUCCGCUCAAAAGUGGUACCGCUAGAGGUGUUUGGUAACAGACAUCCCAGAUAGAUAAUCGCCAUCCAAAGCUGAUUUCAGCCUGGAUAACAGAACCCGGCUUAUGUCUGACUCUUUCC